AAUAACUGGUGCCAGGAGCUCCUUCCCAGUGCUGCCAGUGCUUCUACACCCUGGUCAUGGCAUGAUUAUUGCCACAGUACACGGACAUCAGGUUCAUUGCAGUCUGAGCUCUGGAGGGAGCUGGGAGGAGAUCCAUAACACAUCCAUCUGCCUCCACAUCAUUUCAGAGAGGAAGAAUUGUCCCUGGCACACAGCAAAGCCUUGCUAUGCAAUCAACUUAACCCUUGAAGCAUGAAAUUUGAUUUUCUUUACCAUAGGCUUCGUCUCAGCAAAACAUCAGUCACACACCUGUCACACAUCUUCAUCUAGGCUACAAGACUGGACUGUCCAGAGACUUGUGAGUGGGAAACACAAGUCAGUAGAACCCCUGCAAGACAGAAGGAACUUGAAUUACUGGUGGAGAUUGCUGGGUUAUCAGUCAGUUGGAGCAAAGCUGGAAGGAAACCUUGGCUGUGGUGAAUAUACCUAUCAUAUCACAGUGGUGAUAAACAACCCAUGAGCUUUAUGCUACAAAGGUAUUGUAUAAAUGUCAAUUGUAGGCAUUAUAUUAGAGUUUUGUGUAUCUGCAUCUUUGGUGACCAGUUGGUAUUUUCAGUGACA